UCUACUCUCUCAGAGGAGGUUGUCUAGGUUUGGGUUCUGGACUCAACAAACGUCAGACAGAGAGAGCUCAGAGGACAGCGACAUUGCUGAGGUGAUGGAGAUGCUUCUGGACCAUGAAAAGAGCAGGAGGUCAGCAUACGUCAGAAACAAGUCAGCUGUGGUGAAGGCUGCUAAGAGACAGAGUGACAGAGAGCAGAGUGGUGAGUGUGCAGGGUUUACUUCCACCCCAACACUAAAACAGAACACUGAGUCAGUCUGAUGAUGUCAUCAUGGUUCUCACCAUCAGAGCCCAGAAAGAAAAGCAUGA